UACGUAGGUGGCAAGCGUUGUCCGGAUUUAUUGGGUUUAAAGGGUGCGUAGGCGGCCCUGUAAGUCAGUGCUGAAAUAUCCCAGCUUAACUGGGAGGGUGGCAUUGAUACUGCGGGGCUAGAGUACAGAUGAGGUAGGCGGAAUUGACGGUGUAGCGGUGAAAUGCUUAGAUAUCGUCAAGAACACCUAUAGCGAAGGCAGCUUACUAGGCUGUAACUGACGCUGAGGCGCGAAGGCGUGGGGAGCGAACGGG
rnacentral:rRNA from 1 species